UACGUAGGGUGCAAGCGUUUGUCCGGAAUUAUUGGGCGUAAAGGGCUCGUAGGCGGUCCAUCACGUCGGGAGUGAAAAGCUGGGGCUUAACCCCAGUCCUGCUUCCGAUACGGGUGGACUAGAGGUAGGCAGGGGAGAACGGAAUUCCUGGUGUAGCGGUGAAAUGCGUAGAUAUCAGGAGGAACACCGAUGGCGAAGGCAGGUCUCUGGGCUGAAACUGACGCUCAUGCACGAAAGCGUGGGGAGCAAACAGG
rnacentral:rRNA from 1 species